rnacentral:lncRNA from 10 species
GCUUUUCCUAACAACUCGCAGAGUGAUUAAAGAAUUUUAAAGCAAGUAAUUUCACUGUGACUCCCCUAGGUUAUGAGCAGCCCAAGAGGAGGAACAAUGGUAGCUCCAGAAGUUCUAACAGGAAGAGGAAAGGGUCAGAGAUUUUAUUAAGAAAAGAAUUUUGGAGGAGUAAUCAGCGGAUUUGACUUGAAACAAUAGCUGCAGAAUAUGUUUAAUUUUGAAGAUCUACACUUUUAUUUCAGAGAAGUAUGGAGGGGCACAAUGAGUAAAUACAAAUGUUUGGUCCACUAUCUUGGAUCAGAAGGCUAGCCGAACAUCUUGGAUUCCACUGAGCUAAUUGACAUUGUAUAAUAAUGAAAAAAAUAAACAAAUUUCUCAAGACUCAAAAUAUCUAAGAAUGUAGGUCAAGAACAUUUAAGAGGGGGAAGAUGGGUGUAAAUAUCUGAGAACAUUCUGGGGAAAGGAGUUACAGUGAUGAACAAAGAAGACAUAUUUGAGAAGUGAAGAAUACAGACAAAGAUAGGAUCUUGUUCUGUUGCCCAGGCUAGAGUGCAGUGGCAGGAUCAUAGCUGACUGUAUCUUCAAACUCCUGAGCUCAAGCGAUCCUCCCGCCUCAGCUUCCCAAGUAGUGCGGAUUACAGGCUUGAGCCACUGCACCCCGCUCCGGUUUGGGGCCUAGAAGAAGAAACAUCUCCAACUCUGUGACCCAAAUUUUCAGUAUUCAAACGUGUGCCUAAAAUGUAGAGAAGCAGUUGAGGCAGAAUUGUGGAAUAGAAAUAGAACAGCCUGGAUUUAAAUCCCAGUUCUGAACUCACUACCUCUGCUGACCUUUGGCAAGAGACCUUACCCUUGAGGAUCCUCAGACCAACUUGCUCUAAGAUGGGACAGAAUCUACUUCACAAGGCUGUGAGACUUAAGCUGAAAACAGUGCCUGGCUUGGAGCAAGCCCUUACUAAAUGGUGUCUACUGUUGUUUGUGGACAUUGUUAAUGUAUUUAUUACUAUGGCUUAUAGUGAGACCAAAGCGCCAACUUUGGUCAGCCUUCCACAUCACUGCUAUAAACUUCUAAAAUUAACAGUUUAACUUGCAUAGUUUUGGUUCCUACACUUCUGUGAACAUCCACUAUAUGGAUCAGAGAAGAAUAAUAGAAAUCUAAAUGAAG